GAUGAACGCUGGCGGCGUGCCUAAUACAUGCAAGUCGAGCGAACGGACGAUAAGCUUGCUUCUCUGAUGUUAGCGGCGGACGGGUGAGUAACACGUGGAUAACCUACCUAUAAGACUGGGAUAACUUCGGGAAACCGGAUCUAAUACCGGAUAAUAUUUUGUACCGCAUGGUUCAAAAGUGAAAGACGGUCUUCCUGUCACUUAUAGAUGGAUCCGCGCUGCAUUAGCUAGUUGGUAAGGUAACGGCUUACCAAGGCAACGAUGCAUAGCCGACCUGAGAGGGUGAUCGGCCACACUGGAACUGAGACACGGUCCAGACUCCUACGGGAGGCAGCAGUAGGGAAUAUUCCGCAAUGGGCGAAAGCCUGACGGAGCAACGCCGCGUGAGUGAUGAAGGUCUUCGGAUCGUAAAACUCUGUUAUUAGGGAAGAACAUAAGUGUAAGUAAAUGUGCACAUCUUGACGGUACCUAAUCAGAAAGCCACGGCUAACUACGUG
rnacentral:rRNA from 1 species